ACCGCGUCAGUAUAGGGCUGCAUGACGUGUCUCUCACACCGGAAGUGACUGAGUCUCAUCUUUAUAGACGGACUGACAGCGGAGUGAGCGUUAUACAGAGUGAGCGUUAUACAGUGAGCGUUAUACAGAGUGAGGAUGGAGGGGGGGUCAGUGAGUGUAAUACAGAGUGAGGAUGGAGGGGGGGNNNNNNNNNNNNNNNNNNNNNNNNNNNNNNNNNNNNNNNNNNNNNNNNNNNNNNNNNNNNNNNNNNNNNNNNNNNNNNNNNNNNNNNNNNNNNNNNNNNNGUAAUAACCUUUGUUUCUUUCCUAGCAGAAUGAUCACAGACGUGCAGCUUGCUAUAUUUGCCAACAUGCUUGGUGUGUCCCUUUUCCUCCUGGUGGUUUUAUAUCACUACGUGUCUGUGAACAAUCCAAAGAAGCUGGAGUGAUUGCAAUCACAGGGUAAGGAUGAGUGAAGCUCUAACAGUCAAUGUGAUUUUAAUGGAAUAUUGUAAAUUAUUUUUUGUUAUUGAGUUUUAAUGAAAAUAGAAAACGUAGGUGCUCAUAUUGAGAAAAGGUUCAGUUAACAGAGAUCCAUAAUAUUGUUUAAAAUAAAACGUAGCGUAUCGUAUAGUGUGAUAUCUGCACUAUGUGGGGCUAAUGUCUCCUACAUAUACCGCUGUGACGAAAGCCACUUCGCCACUGGUUCUUGUAGAGGACUAAUGGCUCGCCUUUUGCCUUGUGGCUAUGGCCCUUUAUUAGACUCUGGUUCAGGACUGGGGAAAGACUGUUGUUCGUGCCUGUCACGAGCGUGGGCUAUAGGCCCAGCCGAGACAGUGGGGAGAGUGUGGAAGUGACAGGGUUAAUGACACCAGACCCCUGGUGACCUGUUGCUAGUCCUAGCAACCACUCAAUUAACCCCUGCAAUCCCUUCUACACUAACCCCCCUAGUACACACUUUACUGCCACCACUAAGACUUUAAACCCGGGCGUCUUAGGUUACCCCACACACAGGAGAAUUAUAGAAUUACAGUUCUACUUUUACUGAUCAAACACAUAUAAUUAACCCUUUUUGGUAACGUCUUUACCUGAGCUUUCUUCUGGAGAGUGAAACUCAUAGAGAACAGACACAAGCUGAUUAAGUAAACAUUUUAAUCUCACAAAAAAGAUUCACAGUGCUGAGUACAAAAUACAGAAAUAAAUGACAUACAGAUAACAAAUUGCAAAACAGUAAUUAAAAUAAAAUAGGAGAAAACACAAGAAAUUCCUUACAUGUAGUUACCCCAUAUAGAAUUCUUGUGGGAGUCUUAGAUGGUAUAGGUCUCCUAGAAGUUGCAAGACCACAAUAAAUGUCAUCCCAAGGUUUACAAAAAACAACUCUUAACAUAUAUACACACAUCAAACACCAACUCAUGCUUUUGGCAUGACAGUGCCUUUUCCCUGCAAUGGUUCAGUGCUGCAAAAUGGGCACAAACCAAGUACUGAGUCCAUAUGCAGCUUAUACUUCUCAGAGGUCCGAUAUUGUUCUAUGUACACUCCUUGUUUUAUUGAUUGCAUGUAAUAUUCUAAUUUACUGAGAUUGUGGAUUUGGGGUUUUCAUGAGCUGUAAAUCAUGAUCAUCGCACUUAUGACAAAUCACGGCUUUAACCAUCUUGCUUUGCAUGUAAUGCGUCUCUCAUAUAUUUCCCAUUUUACGUUGCAUUACUGAAAUAAAUGAACUUUUGCACGAUAUUCAAAUUUUUUGAGUAUCACCUGUAUACCGCCCGUCCCAUUCCUCUCCUACCUGUAUACCGCCCGUCCCAUUCUUCUCCUACCUGUAUACCGCCCAUCUCAUACAUGAGCAUUGAAACCAAAGCUUUGCGUUUGGCGGCGUCAUGUUCUGCACAAUGAUACCGAAUAUGAAGACUGUCGUCUUAACGAGGUCGUGGCUGUCAGUCUGACUGAUAUCAGAAGUGUCUUUCCAGACAAAUGUAAACAUUUCAGUUUUUCAGAAGUGGGAAUGGUGGUUGUUUUUGUUUUUUUGUAUUUUUUUUUUUUUUUUGUAUGAAGUUAGGGAUAGCAUGUGUGCACCACAACCACUGCAGUAAGCUGAAGUGAUUUUGGUACUUUGUGUCCCUCUAAAAUCCAUCAAGUAUACAUAUGUCUCUAGACUCUCUUAGUGGCGGUAUUUUCCACAAUGCACUAUUCCCUAUUAUGUAGUCUCUAAUAUACAAAGUACUGUGUUCUGUAAACCUAUCCGUGUAUGUUUUACAGAUGGUGUAUUUGACCGUCACAAUCAGAUCCAAUGCUGGAGAAGAGACUGUGCACGCAUAUCCCGUCCCCUGGCGCACUACUGUAGAUAUGUUUUCUAAUGUCAUUUCCUGAACCAGAAUAAAUGAUGUCUUUGUUUAAAGCUAUGUUAGUGUUUGUCUGUUUGACAGGUAAAGGUAGUGGAUGUAU
rnacentral:lncRNA from 1 species